rnacentral:sRNA from 1 species
CUGGCGUGAGCCUGCGCUUUCCGCCUUCCUUCCCUCACAAGCCCCCGUGGCAACCGUCGCCGUUGAGACGGAGGGAGACGCCCCCACGGAUUCGCCCCGCCGCGCCUCUCCGCGCGUAGAUUGGCCGGAGCGAGGCGAACGGGCCCGGCCUUGGUAGCCGCCGACCGAGCGCUGGCUGUCCUGGAACCUAGGCGGCGGGAGCCCGGGGCGCCCCGCGGCACGGAAGAGCGGCGAGAUGCUCAACCGCAAGACCAGCCACUUUUUGGGAAUGAGGGUGCAGUCGGAGCUUGAACAUCUCUCCGAGCUGCGGCGGGAAGCGGGGAAGGAUCGCAGCUCAGUGCAUGGGUCGGCCGCGCGGACGCGUGCGAGUGUGCGGACUCAGUGGACGACGGCGGCGGCGGCGACGAAAGCGGAUGAAGGCCCUGGAGCCAACUUGUUUCCGGUGAGGGCGGGACAGUCUGGUCUGCUCGUGAAUGUUUAUAAACCGGCUCCCCCGCAGGCGCCACCUGUCAUUAUGCUUACUAACGUUCGGGACGUCUCCCGGGCUGCUUGGGCGAGCAGAGGCAGGGGUGUGUGACCCCGGUGGUUACUGUGCUCGCGUAGAGCACCUAGGGCCUGCUGAAGCCCUCCCUCGCCCGCGCCUCUCCUUCUUAGUCCUUGAGAUGAGAUGGCAAGUUACAGCGGCUUCUCCGGCCUGCUGGAGAUUCGCUACGGGCCAGGACACCGCAGCUGCCUUCCCCAAUUCGCUUUCUUUCCGCAGCCGCCGCUGCCCCGGCCCCGGAUCUGCAUGUGGAAGUACCUGGACGUCCAUUCCAUGCACCAGCUGGAGAAGACCACCAAUGCUGAGGAGAUGAGGGAGUAGGGACUGAGGGGGGCGUGGGAAGAGCUCUUGGCAAAGGCUGAGGGGUCAGGUUGGGAAAACAUGAGGAAUGGCUGACUCCAAAGCAUGUGGUGGGUGUAGGGUGAUGAAAGGAGGCCCAGUUGUCACUCACUCCUCUCUCCCUCCGAAGGGUGCUGGCUGAGCUGCUGGAGCUAGGGUGUCCUGAGCAGAGCCUGCGGGACGCCAUCACCCUGGACCUCUUCUGCCACGCGCUCAUUUUCUGCCGCCAGCAGGGCUUCUCACUGGAGCAGACGUCAGCAGCUUGUGCCCUGCUCCAGGAUCUUCACAAGGCUUGUAUUGCAACCCCCUUGGGCAACGUGGAGGAGUGCUACCGCUACUUCACCAGUGUCCUUUUUUGCCAUGGAGUCAGGACCCCAGUGGGCUCUCCUUGCUCCUGUUGCUGGGCUUUUGGAGGCAAAGCCAGGGCUCCGGAAGGUAGUCAGGGUUCUAAUUCCGAGUCACCACCACAGCGGCCUCCUUUCAGCAUCGACCUCUUCAAAGAGCAACAGCUGCUGGCCUUGGAAGACUACGUGGUCAACACUUACUUCCGCCACUUCAAGCUCUAUAAAUACGUCUUCACACCCCAGGUGCGGCUGGAUCUGUCUUUGACUUACAUGGGGCUACAGCCACCCAAACUGUGGCCAGAGAGUGAGACGGGCCACGUCCAUGUCCUCCGAGCCUACAUCAAGACCCAAGUGAACAAAGAGCUGGAGCAGCUCCAGGGGCUGGUGGAGGAGCGGCUCAAGGCCAGCGAGGAAAGGCUCAGCAGCAAGUUGACUGCACUAGAGCAGCCCUUCCAGCUACCUCCGGGUAAAGGCAAGAGCAAGACCAAGUGACCCCCAACAUUUUCCCCAAUAAAGGUCUGGGCCAGAAUGGCACCAUCCCUGC